GUUUUAAUAGUUUAAAUAAAAACAAUGAUUUUGUAAAUCAUAAAUAGAGUAAUCUUUAAAACU
rnacentral:tRNA from 1 species